rnacentral:lncRNA from 1 species
UUUUAAUUGAAGUCCAUAAAAAUUAAUAUUAAUCAGCACAUUGUUCAGUUACAACUUCCUACCAAUUCAAAUGUCAUUUUUCACAGAAAGCGGUUUAUACAAGAAUAUCGAAUGAGAUGGCCUGAAAAGUAUAUUUAACUUAUGACCCAUCAUUAAUUGUUGUCUUCUAUUUAAAGACAAAAAGAUGUUACACA